UUCAACCUUAUUGCUUUAUCUCUAUAUUUAUUAUCAUUUUUUGAAUUUUGAUUUUUUUUCUUUUUUACUAACAGUCAGGGUUAGAAACUAUUUCCAUUUUCAACAUAACAAAAUAGAUAAUUGGAUAUGAAGUUUUGAUAUUUUUUUUUUGCUAAAGAUGUGUUUUUUGUUUUGAGAUUUUCAAUGUGACCUCUUGUAUUGAAUUGUAUUGACAACAUGAAUUUGAUUUUGGGUUCUUGAGUUUUUAGUAUAUUACAUUUCUAGCUGUUAGUGUUCAAUGACUAAUUUACCAUCUGAGCUUGUUUUUUAUAUAGUUUUACAACCAAUAAAUUAGUUUACACACAAAAAAAAAGAGAAGUUGUUGUCCCAUUUCGUCUGGUCUAAUAUUUAUGCUCAUGCCCUGGGAUUGAUGUGUUUUUUUGGGUAAGCAGGGAAUAUCUGUUGAGUGUUUCUUUGCUGGAGUUUGUGGUGGUGGUUUGGUCACUCUUCCAAUUCAGCUGGGGAUAGGAUUCUUGAUGAGAGAGCACCCAUUGUUUGCCCUUGCUACUGUCGCAACGGUUGUGGGAAUUUGGACUAUAUUUCCUUAUGCGGUGGCUGCUUCAACAACAUUAUUCCUUUAUCUGCAACGCCGAUACUCUAGCUAGACAAAACCUUAUACAAAUUUUUGGACUUCCUUGAAUAUAGACAAAA